rnacentral:rRNA from 1 species
GGCGAAAUUGUAGUGCAAGUGAAGAUGCUUGCUACCCGCGAUUGGACGGAAAGACCCCGUAGAGCUUUACUGUAGCUUAGCAUUGAAUCUCGGUAUUGUCUGUACAGGAUAGGUGGGAGACUUGGAAACUUGGGCGUCAGCCUGAGUGGAGUCAUCCUUGGGAUACCACCCUGACAGUACUGGGGUUCUAACCGGCGGCCAUGAAUCUGGUCACGGGACAUUGUUAGGUGGGCAG